AUAACUGUGCUGUGAAAAGUGCUGGAGUCCAUCUCUGGUGGGGUUCUGGAACCUGAAGACAGAUGUGUGGUCUCCGCAAAAGUGAGGACUCUGACUACCUGUUAGACCUUUCAACCAAGUGGCACUGAAUAGCUCGAGUCAUCUUUCUUUAAACAAUCUUUCUUUAAACAAUCACAAGCCUGCCCCCAGGAGCAGUGAUAUCAUUGGUUAUUCUACUUAAUGAAAUCAUAACAUCAGCAUUAUAAAAGCCCCAUCACUGUAAAAGCCCCCAAUAGUUUUCCUUCCUCCUUCCCAUCUUCUGCUAUCGAUUGAGGAAUGUAAGCUCCAGGGAUGUGGCAGACAGCAUCUGGUGUGCUCCAACUCAGAGAAGCCUUCGUGCAGCAAAAAAAGAUGUUACAGAUAUUUCCCUUAGCAAACAAGGAUCAGAAACUCUAUAUACAAUGCAGGAUUUUCACAUGCCUCUUUCUGCUCAUUUAUGAUAC
ensembl:antisense